CACGUAGGGCGCAAGCGUUGUCCGGAAUUAUUGGGCGUAAAGAGCUCGUAGGCGGUCUGUUGCGUCCGCUGUGAAAACUCGGGGCUUAACCCCGAGCCUGCAGUGGAUACGGGCAGACUAGAGGUAGGUAGGGGAGAAUGGAAUUCCCGGUGUAGCGGUGAAAUGCGCAGAUAUCGGGAGGAACACCGGUGGCGAAGGCGGUUCUCUGGGCCUUACCUGACGCUGACACGCGAAAGCUAGGGGAGCGAACGGG
rnacentral:rRNA from 1 species